UCCCAGGUGGCUCACUGGUAAAGAAUCCGCCUGCAAUGCAGGAGACUCAGGUUCAAUCCCUGGCUUGGGAA
rnacentral:tRNA from 1 species